rnacentral:lncRNA from 1 species
CCUGAUCCUUGCUCAUAAUUAAUUUCUUGCAAAUCAUAUGUAGCCUGUAGGGUAGGGGGCAGCAGGCAAACACAUAUAUAAGAAUAGCUUAAUCGCUAGGUUUGUUUUUUUGAGAUCAAUUUCAUUUUAGGAGAAUCAUAUAUAUUAUCGCUAGGAUCGAUACCAAUGACUUCAAUUCAUUCAAGGUUGCUCCCAUGAUUCACGGUGCAUACGGCAGCUGUUUGGCCGACGACGACGACGAUGAUCAUCUUAAG